rnacentral:rRNA from 1 species
CUUGUGCCAGCCGCCGCGGUAAUACGAAGGGUGCAAGCGUUAAUCGGAAUUACUGGGCGUAAAGCGCGCGUAGGUGGCUUGUUAAGUUGGAAGUGAAAGCCCCGGGCUCAACCUGGGAACUGCUUUCAAAACUGGCAAGCUAGAGUAUGGCAGAGGGUGGUGGAAUUUCCUGUGUAGCGGUGAAAUGCGUAGAUAUAGGAAGGAACACCAGUGGCGAAGGCGACCACCUGGGCUAAUACUGACACUGAGGUGCGAAAGCGUGGGGA